UACGUAGGGGGCGAGCGUUGUCCGGAAUCAUUGGGCGUAAAGCGCGUGUAGGCGGCCUGCAAGGUCUGGUGUGAAAUCCUGGGGCUUAACCCCAGCUGGUCACUGGAAACCGUCAGGCUUGAGUCCGGAAGAGGAGAGUGGAAUUCCUGGUGUAGCGGUGAAAUGCGCAGAUAUCAGGAAGAACACCCUGGUGGAAGGCGGCUCUCUGGGACGGUACUGACGCUGAGACGCGAAAGCGUGGGGAGCGAACAGG
rnacentral:rRNA from 1 species